rnacentral:tRNA from 1 species
GGGGUUGUAGCUCAGUGGUAGAGUGCUUGCCUUGCAUACAUGAGGCCCUGGGUUCAAUCCUCAGCACCACA